GCCCCUAGAGAUUUUGGGGCGCACGCGCGCGACACAGAGAGAACCAGCGAGUUUUUUUCCUUGGCCGGAAGGUCUGGGUAAUCUUGUGAAACUCUGUCGUGCUGGGGAUAGAGCAUUGCAAUUAUUGCUCUUCAACGAGGAAUACCUAGUAAGCGCGAGUCAUCAGCUCGCGUUGAUUACGUCCCCUGCCCCUUGACCACCGCCC
rnacentral:rRNA from 1 species